UACGUAGGGGGCGAGCGUUAUCCGGAUUUAUUGGGUUUAAAGGGUGCGUAGGCGGUUUGCUAAGCGGGAGGUGAAAUGCCGGCGCUCAACGUCGGAAGUGCCUCCCGAACUGGUGGACUGGAAUGACUCCGCCGUGGGAGGAAUGUGUAGUGUAGCGGUGAAAUGCUUAGAGAUUACACAGAACACCGAUUGCGAAGGCAUCUCACGAAGGGUUGAUUGACGCUGAGGCACGAAAGCGUGGGGAUCAAAC
rnacentral:rRNA from 1 species